rnacentral:rRNA from 1 species
UGAGGAACAUGACCUUCGGCGGGGGAUAGCCGGCCCAACGGCCGGGUAAUACCGCGUACGACCACAUGGGGACAUCCCCGAGUGGUGAAAGCAGCAAUGCGCCGAUGGAGUGCCUCGCGGCCUAUCAGCUAGUUGGUGAGGUAACGGCUCACCAAGGCGACAACGGGUANCUGGUCUGAGAGGAUGGCCAGCCACUAGUUGGGACUGAGACCGACCGGCCCAAGCCUCCCGGUAGGGACGG